GAUGAACGCUGGCGGCGUGCCUAAUACAUGCAAGUCGAACGAGGUGCCUUUUGUAGCAAUACGGAGGGUAUCCUAGUGGCGAACGGGUGAGUAACGCGUUGGUGACCUGCCCCAAAGUGUGGGAUAACAGUCCGAAAGGAUUGCUAAUACCGCAUGUGGUCUUCGGGUUUAGAAACCGAUGACUAAAGCAGUAAUGCGCUUUGGGAGGGACCUGCGUCCCAUCAGCUAGUUGGUGAGGUAACGGCCCACCAAGGCGACGACGGGUAGGGGACCUGAGAGGGUGGCCCCCCACAAUGGAACUGAAACACGGUCCAUACACCUACGGGUGGCAGCAGUAGGGAAUAUUGCACAAUGGGCGAAAGCCUGAUGCAGCAACGCCGCGUGUGCGAUGAAGGCCUUCGGGUCGUAAAGCACUUUCUGGAGAUGAGAAGGACAGUAUCUCAGGAAUAAGUACUCGGCUAACUACGUGCCAGCAGCCGCGGUAAAGUCUGUACU
rnacentral:rRNA from 1 species